GAGGAAUAUUGGUCAAUGGGCGCGAGCCUGAACCAGCCAAGUAGCGUGAAGGAUGACUGCCCUACGGGUUGUAAACUUCUUUUAUACGGGAAUAAAGUGCCUCCCCUGGGGGGUUUUGCAUGUACCGUAUGAAUCAGGAUCGGCUGUCUCCGUGCCAGCAGCCGCGGUAAUACGGAGGAUCCGAGCGUUAUCCGGAUUUAUUGGGUUUAAAGGGUGCUCAGGCGGGGGGCUAAGUCGGCGGUGAAAUUUUGCAGCUCAACUGUAAAAGUGCCUUCGAAACUGGUUCCCUUGAGUGCGGAUGAGGUAGGCGGAAUUUGUGGUGUAGCGGUGAAAUGCAUAGAUAUCACGAGGAACUCCGAUUGCGCAGGCAGCUUACCAAGCCGUAACUGACGCUCAAGCACGAAGGCGUGGGGAUCAAACA
rnacentral:rRNA from 1 species